UGACGUGACAAGCUCUGCUGGGCACGGCCUUGUGAACCUCCCAGCUCACAGUGACCCCAGGCGACCCUACCCCUGCACCUGGUGAAUGACUCACAUGGCAGAUGCCCAGGGCAAGGCAGGUCCUGCGGCCCAAGCAAGAUGGCCAGACAGGUGCUGCCUUCAGAGCUUCCCCACCUCUGGGCGUAGACCUCCCAGCAAGACACUGGCCUGGGCCUCCCCUCCCUCAAGACCUACCCAGGACUACCCAGAUUAACAGAGGUGUGACUGAUGCUACAGUCAAUUUUACAUCUUAUCACCCCAGAACAGAAGCCUGCACCCAGCAGCCACCUGCCGCUCCCUGCAGGAGUGAAGGAAGCAGUGGUCCCCUCACUGGUGUGGCCAGGCCUGGCUCUAGCCCUCACAUAUUUAUGCUUCCUGUUUGGUCCUCAGAACCCAAAGCAACAGCCCCCGAGUUCAUGUACCCCAUCCCAGCUCACGGUCCUCGUUGGCAAGCGCCUGAUGCUCACCCAGUCUCCAGGAAUAAAGGGCGUAGGUGUGUGUGAGCCACAUGGGAAGCUGACCUGGGACUGGACACAGGAUGGAAGCCACUCCAGGGUCCCCAACACCUCCUGGCCCUCCAGUUCUGUCCUUCCUCCACUGGCCAGCGUGCUCUGGCUUCUAGAAGUUUCUGCUCUUUACAGCUUUCCUGACCCUAACCCCAACCCUACAGUGGGUUCAGCUCCCUACGGGAGGCUCAUGCUAACAGGAGGUAUGACCCAUUCUUUGUCUGCCACAGGUCACAGGCUGUAUGUCACUGGCCACUCUAGCGGCAGUUACAGCGGACAGGGCCUCACACAGGCUGUGAGCACCAUUGGGUUUCUCUGUGCUACAGUCUGGAGCAGCCGAGGCCACUGGGAGACCAGGCAGCCGCCCACCCAGGACUCAGAGACCACAUGUCCUCGCUGUCGCCCCAGUACCCCCUGCAGGAGCACAGCAAUGCUGACACUCAUGGUUCCUCGAGUGUUGUGCCUGCAGGCUCAUUGUGCUGACAGCUGAUGGGCUUUGGGGCAGUGACAGGGUCACGAAGGCCCGAACUUCGUCAGAUGGAUUUAUCCAUGGAUGAGUCCAUCUAGGAAUGGGCUGUUAGGAAACGGGCCCUGGCUGGAGGAAGGAGGUUCCUGGAAUCUGCCUUUGAAGGGCAUACCUUGUCACCAGCCCCUCCUCUGUGCCUCUCCCAUUCUACUUCCAGGUCAUUGUGAGGAGCGGGUUUCUUCCACCAUGUCCUCUUCCACGGUGUUUCUGCCUCACUGCAGGCCUAGAAGAAACAGAGCCAAGUAACCAUGGGCUGAAACCCUAGACCAUGAUCCCAA
ensembl:lncRNA